rnacentral:rRNA from 1 species
GAGCACGUAGGUGGGUUUGUUAGUCAGAUGUGAAAGCCUUCUGUUCAACGGAAGAAUUGCAUCUGAAACUACAAACCUUGAGUAUAGGAGGGGAGAGUGGAACUUCUGGUGGAGCGGUGAAAUGCGUAGAUAUCAGAAGGAACGCCGGCGGCGAAAGCGACUCUCUGGCCUAUAACUGACACUGAGUGUGCGAAAGCUAGGGGAGCAAACGGGAUUAGAUACCCCGGUAGUCCUAGCCGUAAACGAUGGGCACUGAGUAGAGGGAAUUACCGAUGUCCUCUCUGCCGUAGCUAACGCAUUAAGUGCCCCGCCUGGGGAGUACGGCCGCAAGGCUAAAACUCGAAAGAAUUGACGGGGGCUCGCACAAGCGGUGGAGCAUGUGGCUUAAUUCGAUGCAACGCGAAAAACCUUACCGGGGCUUGACAUGGUAGAAGUAGGAACCCGAAAGGGUAACGAACGGUAUCCAGUCCGUAGCUAUCACAGGUGUUGCAUGGCUGUCGUCAGCUCGUGUCGUGAGACGUUGGGUUAAGUCCCCUAACGAGCGAAACCCUUGUUUUUAGUUACCAGCGGGUUAUGCCGGGUACUCUAGAAAGACUGCCGUCGUCAAGACGGAGGAAGGUGGGGAUGACAUCAAGUCAUCAUGGCCCUUAUGCCCCGGGCUGCACACGUGCUACAAUGGUCGGUACAAACGGAUGCGAAGCCGAGAGGUGAAGCGAAUCC